AUAUUGGUCAAUGGACGAGAGUCUGAACCAGCCAAGUCGCGUGAAGGAAGACGGAUCUAUGGUUUGUAAACUUCUUUAGUGCGGGAACAAAGCGGCGUCGUGACGCCGGAUGAGUGUACCGCAAGAAUAAGCAUCGGCUAACUCCGUGCCAGCAGCCGCGGUAAUACGGAGGAUGCGAGCGUUAUCCGGAUUUAUUGGGUUUAAAGGGAGCGCAGGCUGCGAGGCAAGUCAGCGGUCAAAUGUCGGGGCUCAACCCCGGCCUGCCGUUGAAACUGUCUUGCUAGAGUUCGAGUGAGGUAUGCGGAAUGCGUUGUGUAGCGGUGAAAUGCAUAGAUAUGACGCAGAACUCCGAUUGCGAAGGCAGCAUACCAACUCGCGACUGACGCUGAGGCUCGAAAGCGUGGGUAUCGAACAGGAUUAGAUACCCUGGUAGUCCACGCAGUAAACGAUGAAUACUAACUGUUCGGAGGGCGACCUCUGAGUGGUAAAGCGAAAGCGUUAAGUAUUCCACCUGGGGAGUACGCCGGCAACGGUGAAACUCAAAGGAAUUGACGGGGGCCCGCACAAGCGGAGGAACAUGUGGUUUAAUUCGAUGAUACGCGAGGAACCUUACCCGGGCUCAAACGUCGGGCGAAUCAUCCUGAAAGGGGUGAGCCAGCAAUGGCGGCCGACGAGGUGCUGCAUGGUUGUCGUCAGCUCGUGCCGUGAGGUGUCGGCUUAAGUGCCAUAACGAGCGCAACCCCCGCGUCCAGUUGCCAGCGAGUAGAGUCGGGCACUCUGGACGGACUGCCGGCGCAAGCCGCGAGGAAGGCGGGGAUGACGUCAAAUCAGCACGGCCCUUACGUCCGGGGCGACACACGUGUUACAAUGGCGUGGAACAGAGGGAAGCCACCUGGCGACAGGGAGCGGAACCCGAAAACACGUCUCAGUUCGGAUUGGAGUCUGCAACUCGACUCCAUGAAGCUGGAUUCGCUAGUAAUCGCGCAUCAGCCAUGGCGCGGUGAAUACGUUCCCGGGCCUUGUACACACCGCCCGUCAAGCCAUGGGAGCCGGGGGUACCUGAAGUGCGUAACCGCGAGGAGCGCCCUAGGGUAAAACUGGUGACUGGGGCUAAGUCGUAACAAGGUAGCCGUACCGGAAGGUGCGGCUG
rnacentral:rRNA from 1 species